UCUCCGUAGGUGAACCUGCGGAGGGAUCAUUACAGAGUUCAUGCCCUACCGGGUAGAUCUCCCACCCUAUGUUAUUAUUACUUUGCUGCUUUGGCGGGCCGUUAGGCUCCGGCCCGACUACCGGCCCCGGCUGAUAAGCGACCGCCAGAGGACCCAAAACCCCGAAUAUUAGUGUCGUCUGAGUACUAUAUAAUAGUUAAAACUUUCAACAACGGAUCUCUUGGUUCUG
rnacentral:misc_RNA from 1 species